rnacentral:lncRNA from 1 species
AUGGCACUAAAGUGGAUCCAGAAGGAAUUAACCAACUUGCAGAUGAAUCCUCCUGCCCAGUGCUCCACGGGGCCUCUGGGUGAUAAUUAAUGACAGUCCUUGCCAAGGAGGUGUUUUCUUCCUGACCAUCCACUUUCCUACGGAUUGCCUGUUCAAGCCCCCAAGGUUGCUUUCACAACCAAAAUUUAUCACCCCAAUAUCAAUAGCAAUGACAGCAUCUGCUUCGACAUCCUAUGGUCUCAGUGGUCUCCAGCAUUGACUGUCAAAAGUUCUCUUGUCCAUCUGCUCACUGCCCUGCAUCCCCAACCUCAAUGAUCCUCUGGUGCUAGAGAUACCCCACACCUACAAGGCCAACAGAGAGAACUACAACAGACUAGCAAGACAGUGGACAGAAAAAUAUGCUAUGUA